rnacentral:lncRNA from 1 species
CAAUGCGUCAAUGUCGGUCGCUUCGAAACGCGAAAAUAGUGUAUUUGAAAACGUUUUUGACAUUAAUUUACUUUCCGAUAUAGGUACUUACUUAUAUAUGUAUAGUGGUGCAUUGUGGAACUAUGAGAUAAGAAGAUAAAACGAAGAAUCUACCAAUAAAAGAUCCAUGUUAUUUUCAAUCUAAUACACCACCAUGGGAAAAAGCUUCAGUACCAUUCUGAAUAGAAAUUACCAAAAAGACAACCGAAGUACCGCAAGUACCGGUAGCAGCGGAAGGGCAUUUUUCUUUCUCCAUAGAACAUGGGCAGUUAUUUUAACUGAUAAGAGAUCUAAAAGCCGUACAUUUCGUUCUUCAAAGUCUGAUUAUGGUAGCGAAUACGACACAAACACGAUGUGCAGCUGCAGGCAGUGCCACAGGAAAAAGAAAUUUGACAGCGACUGGGAAAGCGAGAUACUCGGCUCUGAGGACACAAUGGCACCAAAUUCUGAAAAUGGAAGAGAAAUUCGUGUUUACCCGUGGGAAGAGGACAUUCUCC